GACGAGCGCUGGCGGCGUGCUUAACACAUGCAAGUCGAACGGAAAGGCCCUGCUUUUGUGGGGUGCUCGAGUGGCGAACGGGUGAGUAACACGUGAGUAACCUGCCCUUGACUUUGGGAUAACUUCAGGAAACUGGGGCUAAUACCGGAUAGGAGCUCCUGCUGCAUGGUGGGGGUUGGAAAGUUUCGGCGGUUGGGGAUGGACUCGCGGCUUAUCAGCUUGUUGGUGGGGUAGUGGCUUACCAAGGCUUUGACGGGUAGCCGGCCUGAGAGGGGGACCGGCCACAUUGGGACAGAGAUACGGCCCAGACCCCUACGGGAGGCAGCAGUGGGGAAUAUUGCACAAUGGGCGGAAGCCUGAUGCAGCAACGCCGCGUGCGGGAUGAGGCCUUCGGGUUGUAAACCGCUUUCGCCUGUGACGAAGCGUGGGUGACGGUAAUGGGUAAAGAAGCACCGGCUAACUACGUG
rnacentral:rRNA from 1 species